UACAGAGGGUGCGAGCGUUUGUCCGGAAUCACUGGGCGUAAAGGGCGCGUAGGCGGCCUGGUAAGCGUGCGGUGAAAGCCCGGGGCUCAACCCCGGGUCGGCCGUGCGAACUGCGAGGCUGGAGCACUGUAGAGGCAGGUGGAAUUCCGGGUGUAGCGGUGGAAUGCGUAGAGAUCCGGAAGAACACCGGUGGCGAAGGCGGCCUGCUGGGCAGUGGCUGACGC
rnacentral:rRNA from 1 species